rnacentral:rRNA from 1 species
GAUGAACGCUAGCUAUAGGCUUAACACAUGCAAGUCGAGGGGAAACGAUAGAGAAAGCUUGCUUUUUCUAGGCGUCGACCGGCGCACGGGUGAGUAACGCGUAUCCAACCUGCCCACCACUUGGGGAUAACCUUGCGAAAGUAAGACUAAUACCCAAUGAUAUCUCUAGAAGACAUCUGAAGGAGAUUAAAGAUUUAUCGGUGAUGGAUGGGGAUGCGUCUGAUUAGCUUGUUGGCGGGGUAACGGCCCACCAAGGCGACGAUCAGUAGGGGUUCUGAGAGGAAGGUCCCCCACAUUGGAACUGAGACACGGUCCAAACUCCUACGGGAGGCAGCAGUGAGGAAUAUUGGUCAAUGGGCGAAAGCCUGAACCAGCCAAGUAGCGUGAGGGAAGACUGCCCUACGGGUUGUAAACCUCCUUUGUUUGGGAAUAAAGUGCGGGACGUGUCCCGCAUUGCAUGUACCAUUUGAAUAAGGACCGGCUAAUUCCGUGCCAGCAGCCG